rnacentral:rRNA from 1 species
UACGUAGGGUGCAAGCGUUGUCCGGAAUUAUUGGGCGUAAAGAGCUCGUAGGCGGUUUGUCGCGUCGGCUGUGAAAGCCCGGAGCUCAACUCCGGGUCUGCAGUCGAUACGGGCAGACUUGAGUGUUGCAGGGGAGACUGGAAUUCCUGGUGUAGCGGUGAAAUGCGCAGAUAUCAGGAGGAACACCGGUGGCGAAGGCGCCACUCUGGGCCGGUACUGACGCUGAGGAGCGAAAGCGUGGGUAGCAAACAGG